rnacentral:rRNA from 1 species
AUUUUCGGCAAUGGGGGAAACCCUGACCGAGCAACGCCGCGUGAGGGAUGAAGGCCUUCGGGUCGUAAACCUCUGUCUUUGGGGACGAUAAUGACGGUACCCGAGGAGGAAGCCCCGGCUAACUACGUGCCAGCAGCCGCGGUAAUACGUAGGGGGCGAGCGUUGUCCGGAAUUACUGGGCGUAAAGGGCGUGUAGGCGGCCUGUUAAGUCAGGCGUGAAAACCCCGGGCUUAACCUGGGGACUGCGUUUGAAACUGGUGGGCUUGAGGGCAGGAGAGGAAAGUGGAAUUCCCGGUGUAGCGGUGAUAUGCGUAGAUACCGGGAGGAACACCAGUGGCGAAGGCGGCUUUCUGGACUGCACCUGACGCUGAGGCGCGAAAGCCAGGGGAGCGAACGGG